AUGGUGAAGAAAUUGGUUCCCUGAGAUGGGGAGAUGUUGACUUGUCCACUUCAGAAGCCUUAUGUGAAUUAUUUGGUUCCACAUUGCCUGCCACAGUUUAUUUAGAGAUUCCAAAUGGUGAAAAAGUGGCUGAGGCUCUUCACUUCAAGGGAGUUCCCUUUGUCAUAUAUUGGAAAAGUACGCUUUCAUGUUAUGCAGCUUGUCAAUUUCGUCAAGCUUUGUUGUCUGUUGUACAAAGUUCCUGCAGCCACACAUGUGAUGCGUUCCAACUUGCCCAUGCAUCUUUUAGUCUUUUCUGUGUAAGAAACAACAAUGUCAUAACUUCCAAUGGCCAGAAAGUUAGUGGUAAACCUGGACCUAGUGGUAAGCCUGGACCACGCUUGCUUGGGGAUCCACCAAAGAUUGAUAUUACUCUACCUGAGGCAGAUACUCAGGAUGAAGAAAGUUCUUCUGGGACCCUUCCCGCUAUAAAGAUAUAUGAUGAUGAUGUGAC
rnacentral:misc_RNA from 1 species